rnacentral:rRNA from 1 species
AGAGUUUGAUCCUGGCUCAGAACGAACGCUGGCGGCGUGGAUAAGACAUGCAAGUCGAACGCUGGUUGCGAGGUAGCAAUAUCCCGUAACCGGAGUGGCGAAAGGGGGCGUAACACGUGGGCAAUCUGCCGUGAAGUUGGGAAUAACUUGCCGAAAGGUAAGCUAAUACCGAAUGUGUCGAUUGGGAGGCUUCUCCUGAUGUCUAAAGCUGGGGAUCUUCGGACCUGGCGCUUUAAGAUAAGCCCGCGGCCUAUCAGCUUGUUGGUGAGGUAAAAGCUCACCAAGGCGACGACGGGUAGCUGGUCUGAGAGGACGAUCAGCCACACUGGAACUGAGACACGGUCCAGACACCUACGGGUGGCAGCAGUCGAGAAUCUUUCACAAUGGGCGAAAGCCUGAUGGAGCGACGCCGCGUGGGGGAUGAAGGUCUUCGGAUCGUAAACCCCUGUCAUCUGUGAGCAAUGCCUUUCAGUUAAUAGCCGGAAGGUUUGAUAGUAGCAGAAGAGGAAGGGACGGCUAACUCCGUGCCAGCAGCCGCGGUAAUACGGAGGUCCCAAGCGUUGUUCGGAUUCACUGGGCGUAAAGGGUGCGUAGGUGGCUGAGAUAGUUUGAUGUGAAAGCUCCGGGCUCAACCCGGAAAAUGCAUUGAAUACUACUCAGCUAGAGGAUCGGAGGGGAAAGUGGAAUUCUUGGUGUAGCAGUGAAAUGCAUAGAUAUCAAGAGGAACAUCAGUGGCGAAGGCGAGUCUCUGGACAACACCUGACAUCUAAACGGUAAAGGGUGCACGUUUUGGUGUAAUUAGAAUUCGACCCCGAUGGUGGAAAAGAUAAACGCUUUAAAUAUGACAACUUGGGGGAGUAGGGUCGUAAGAUUAAAACUCAAAAAAAUUGACGGGGGCCUGCACAAGCGGUGGAGUAUGUGGCUCAAUUCGAUGCAACGCGAAAGAACCUUAACUGGCCUUGACUUACUCGUGGUAGAAGUGUGAAAGGGAAACGACCCCGCAAGGGGAGCUUGCACAGGUGCUGCAUGGCUGUCGUCAGCUCGUGUCGUGAGAUGUUGGGUUAAGUCCCGCAACGAGCGCAACCCUUGUGUCCUGUUGCCACCCGAACUUCGGUUCGGAGCACUCUGGACAGACUGCCUGGUUCCAACCAGGAGGAAGGUGGGGAUGACGUCAAGUCAGUAUGGCCCUUACGGCCAGGGCUGCACACGUACUACAAUGCCUGGCACAAUGGGACGCAAGACCGCAAGGUGGAGCAAAUCCCCAAAAACCAGGCUCAGUUCGGAUUGUCGUCUGCAACUCGACGGCAUGAAGCUGGAAUCGCUAGUAAUGGCGCAUCAGCUACGGCGCCGUGAAUACGUUCCCAGGCCUUGUACACACCGCCCGUCACAUCAUGAAAGCCGGUCAUACCCGAAGUCGCCGAGCUAACCCGCAAGGGAGGCAGGCGCCGAAGGUAAGACUGGUGAUUGGGAUGAAGUCGUAACAAGGUAGCCG